ensembl:lncRNA
CUUUACUCUGACCAUUAGGGUCUCUUGCCCUCCCCCCGCACCCCCCCGGUUCCUUACACCAAUAAAUAUGGAUUAGUGAAAUACUUUUUCCCACACUGAUGAAAAGCCGGGAUUGAUCUUUCCACCUCCUUUAUCUACCAACCUGACAAGUUUCUAAACAAAAUUAAGAGGGAAGAGGCGAAAGGAGCCAUCCCAGGUUGGGCGGCCGGGGACGGAUCCUGCCCCGCCGUGGGGAUGGGGGGUCCCCGGCGGGGCGCUGGCGCCGGCUGUGCCGGGCUGCUCCGCUCCGCCGCCGCUCUCUGUGCGCUGGGGAGCCCCUCGCGUGUUACCAGCGAGUUAAAAAAUAAAACGUAGCUCUUCUAACCCAAAAGAGGAAAAAAAAAUAAAGCCCUGGCUAAGCCCUGCACUCUCUCGAUGGGCGCCUGUGUGUCCUGGGGAGACCCGUCUUGCUCCUCACCGCGGAGCCCCAGCGCUCGCGGGCGGUCGGGGAAGUUGUCUGCGAAUUUCAUCCUGGAAAAAAAAAAAAAAAAAAACACCAACAAACCCACAACAUGAUGUCAUUGGCUUUCUGGUGUAUCCCGCCGGCGCCCCUCCACCUGCCGCCGGGCGCUGCUCGGCCGUGAGCCUCAGCACGACCACGAGCCUCGGCACGACGGUCAGCCUGGGCACAGCCCUGAGCCUCGGCACGGUGGUCGGGGAUCCGGCUCCUGCCCUCCCGGCAGCCCCCCGGCUUUCCCAGGCUCCCGGUGCGGUGAAUGCCUCUUUCACCAGCAGUUCCCCACUUCCCCAAAAAGCAUCACCUUGCCAGCUCCCUUCCUCCCACCAGCUGCCAGGAAAAAAAAUUAGGGCAAGGACAGGGAGCGAGAGCAAAACCAAUGAACUUGUUUCCAGCUUUUCCUUCGGAUCAGCCGUCCAGCACCGGGAGAAAAACAUUUCUCCUGAAAAAAAACUCCCCUCUCCGUGCGGGCUCCGACCCCGUCGCCACUGGGACACUGGCUGGAGACACGGGCUCAGCUCGGCAGCAGAGGACACUGUAUCACCAUGAGUGCAGAGAGCCGUGAAGAUGUCCUGAGCCCCAUGGGGACACCCUGGGCCAUGUGGGGACCUGCCACCUGCCUUCCAGUCCUGCCUCUUGGGCACAGGAGGUGUCACAGCCCUGUGUUAGCAGCAUGGUGCAGAUGGACAUGCUGAGCCACAGCACGGAGCUGGGUGAGUUGUCACCUUGAGGACAGCACAGCAGGUACCCUGACAGGUAUCUCCAUGUGCCCCUUCUCCCUGAGCUCACCCAGGGUUGUUUUACCAUUGCACACCCAAAACUGUUUGUAAGGUGCCACUUGGCUCUCUGUGGGCUCUGAGGGUCCACUGUGAACCCGGCAGCAGCCAGGAUGUGGGGGGAAGGUGGAUUGCAAAAGCAGGGAUAAUUCUGACCACAGCUGAGCUUGGGAGGACAGGCACUGGAUGCUCUGCCUCUCUACCAGUCCCAGCCUGUGUGCAGCACAUUUCCCUGGCCCGUGCCUCAGUUUCCCUAUGUCACAGUGGCAGCCCCCCCUUUUCUGUGCCUGUUUUGGGGGUGAUGGGGCUGUGGGAAGGGCAGUCUCUGCCUCUCUUCCUCUGCUCUGGAGCCCACGGCCAGGGAGUGCUGGCGAGGGUGGUACCAGGGCAGUGGGGCCAUGGCUGUGCUUGGGUGGCUGAACUGUGUGGGGUGCCAGGGCAAGGGCAGCUGUGACCCUGAGAGACAAAGCAGGGAUGGAGGGAU